rnacentral:lncRNA from 1 species
CUGAAACUGAAUGUGUAUUGAUCAAAAGAACAUCCUCUAAAUUAUUAUUACAGAAGCCUACAGCAAAAGCAGCCAAAACAAAUUUGUGGAAGUUGUAAAGCGCUUUGGCCAGAGUCAGACUUACUGUAGAUAAGGAGGAGAACCAUAGAAUCGUAGAUACCUAGAAUGGCUUGUUUUGAAAGGAUCUUAAAGAUCGUGCAGUUCCAACCCCUUGCUGUGGGCAGUGUUUCUACUUGCCAGAUCAGACUGCCCAGGGUCCCAUCCAACCUAUCCUUGAACACCUCCAGGAAUGGGCCAUCUGCUUCUCUGGGCAAUCUAUUCCAGUGCCUCACCACCCUCUGAGUGACAGAAGCAUACAUCCGAACACCCAAACUGACCUUCUGUGGAUGAGAUAUUCCCCUAACUUUCAUUGAUAUCCCCACUGGUUUUUAAACUCACCCAUGUAAGUUGGAUUAUUUGACCCGAGAUACUCUUUCAGAGUUGAUUGUGUCAGUUAUUAGAGGUUGCCAGUCCUUGGGUCUGGAGUGGUGGGGAGUUGUGAGAAGCCAUUUGGUGACUGUCAACAUCACUAUGUUAUUCCUGUCUAUCCCUAUGUAUUGGAUUGGUUCCAAUUGGACCUUAACCAAAAUUAAACGAAAUAUGUGCUUAGGCUCUUUGGUGUUUCUAAAAUCCACUUUUUUUUUUUUCUCAUGCUUUAUUCCAACCACUAAAUAAACAUUCCUUCUUUUGUGGGAGCUGCUUGUCAGUAUUAGAAGAAAAACAGGUGCCUGAAACCAGUCAGAUCUACAGGAUGAUAGGCAUUAGUACAUACAAGAUAACACUUGCCUCCUAACAAAAAGUAAAAGAAGAGCAAGAUUGCACACAAACACAAGCCUAGGAUCAGACAAGUCAGGAGCCAUAGGUGAUGUCAGUCUUGUAACACUGAAAACAAAAUGUCAGGAUUCUGGUAAAAAAUAAUGGUGAUUCCACUGUCUGCUCUGAAACUUAGAACUCUACAAAAAAAAUUAAAUAAAAUCCUUUUGAGUUUAUUUCCUUUUGAAUACAGUACAUUCUUUGCCCAACAGUAAAGUAGUAAAAUUAUAUUUGCUGACAUUUAGAAGCUUCUUUAUAAAACUUUGACCCUUGGAAGUCAGUGAGAUUUUUAUCACCUGACUUAUGGAAUAAAAAAAUGUUAAAAAAAAAAAAAUCUGUUUCCUUUUACUACAUAAAACUUACCAACAAUUUCCUUCAGUACAUUCCAAGUGCACUCAAGAGCUACCAAGUAAAUAGGAUUUGGAGUAGACCCUGGGCCCUCAGCUUCUCCUGUUUCAUGCAGAAGCAGGAAAAUUUCUUCUGUGACACCAUCUUCAGUUUUCUUGAUGUGUUCCACAUGACAAAUUCUUUGAAUACAGACUGGAAGAUGAACAGCCACUGUUCUCUGGUCCGGACUUAGACACUUUCAAUAGAAAUAAAACAGACUUGUGAUACUUUUGUAAUAUAUUUUUGAUGGUCGACAAGUCUUUUUCCUUGCAAUUCUGCAAAGCUGUUAAUAAGGACAUUCCAUUGGGAACUGGCAGUGUUCCAGCCUUUGUAGUUGUAGAAAAUCCAUAUACAAAAUAAUAUUUGGUAGUUCUGAGGUCUUUUACAGGUAUUACUCUUAAGUCUUUGUCUCAUGUGAACUUUGAACUAGCUCACUCAGGUUAAUUAAAGCAGCCUUUGUAGGUAAAAUUACACCAACAAUUGCAGUACUGUUAUUCAAAUUUUCAAAAAUAUACUUCUUCUCCAGUGUGUGUAUUAUGUUGAAAGCUCAUAAUACUAUGAUGUCAUAUGUAAAGAUAGUAUCUCCUACACUCACUUGGGAUGACCUGUAUAACUAACUCAUAACCAUGCUAUUUGUAAGCAAUGGAAUCAUCCCAUAUUUAUUUUAUGAAAAUCUUUAUACUGUGUAGUAUUUAUGCAUGCCUAUGCUGAUCUGAGAUUGUCUUUGGGGAGUGCAUUACGUGUUAUGUUAUACUGUUUUUAUUAUAAGCAAUACAGGUAGUAAUGCCUACAGUUAAUGUUGCUUGACACUUUCUAGUAUAAGAUAUUUUUAUGUUGUUAUCUAUCUUCACUGAAUUUAAGCCAUUUGGACUACAAUACUUCAGUUUGGAUACAUGCCUCUUGAUGAAUUCUUUAAAGGAAUAUUUUACCUAAAAAGGUUCUGCCUGGGGCUUAUCCCCAGAACAAUAUUCAUGAAAAGUAUGCUCCUCUUUGAAUAGCUUUUGUAGCUUCUCAUUAUUGGGUUGUGCCAACAGUACAGCUUGAUAGAGGCUUAACUCUUUGUGCAAGUACUCACUGGAGUGUCCUCAUAUCUUGUUUGCUUACUUGUUUUCCUUCCUGCUACACAGUGAUCUAAUGGCAAAGAAUAAAAGGUAGAUAUAAGGAACACAGUUCCUUCGAAGUACAGAAGUGAUCGGUUGUUGAAUUUCAUUGAGUCAAGGUGACAUAAAUACACAAACACGGUUGGCAUGUAAUUAGUUUAUUGGUUUGAUUAGACGUGGAUUUGGACCUUUUUUAAAAGAAAAAUUAAUAUAUUGCUGCAACAUAAAAGUUGUUAUUGCCAAAAUAAAAAAUGAAUACUUUGCCUGUGUUAAUUCUUGACCUUCUAGAGAAAAAUCAUUCCUCAUUGUAUUGCUGUAGAAAGACUGAUAGACAUGCAUCCAUGCCCCCCUUCUAAUGCAGUCUUCUUGUGAGGACAGUUAACACAGUCCAAGGUGACAUAGAGGCUUGAUGGCAAAACAAAGUGUUUACCAGUGAAUUACCCUUGUCUAUUGACAGCAAAACUUGAAUAAUGAUACCAAAAGAUCCCCAGCUACCAGCUGCUACUAAUUAACAGAACAAAUCCAGUAGAAUUCAACCUAUCCUAAUAGAGGCAAACUUCUGGAACUAGGCCUUUUGUUCCAUUGACACCAAUCUAAACAACAAGGCUAUUGACUGCAUGCAUGUGCCAGCUUUUGUUAGUGGGGGCUACCUGAAAAGAUGAAAAUUGCAUGAAUCUGCAAUUUCAGAUUCAUUAAUUCUCAGCUGAAAAAACUCCAUCUGUGAACUGACAUGAGAGGAGUGGUCAAGGUGCAUUAAGAUUCCAUGUAAAAGGAUCAUAUUGUCAGUCUAGCCCUAGGAAAUGAAAUAAAUUUUGUUUCCAGUGGCAAUACUAAAUAGGUCUCAAG